AUUGAACGCUGGCGGCAGGCCUAACACAUGCAAGUCGAGCGGAUGACGGGAGCUUGCUCCUUGAUUCAGCGGCGGACGGGUGAGUAAUGCCUAGGAAUCUGCCUGGUAGUGGGGGACAACGUUUCGAAAGGAAGGCUAAUACCGCAUGCGCCCUAAGGGAGAAAGCAGGGGACCUUGGGGCCUUGCGCUAUCAGAUGAGCCUAGGUCGGAUUAGCUUGUUGGUGAGGUAAUGGCUCACAAAGGCGACGAUCCGUAACUGGUCUGAGAGGAUGAUCAGUCACACUGGAACUGAGACACGGUCCAGACUCCUACGGGAGGCAGCAGUGGGGAAUAUUGGACAAUGGGCGAAAGCCUGAUCCAGCCAUGCCGCGUGUGUGAAGAAGGUCUUCGGAUUGUAAAGCACUUUAAGUUGGGAGGAAGGGUUGUAGAUUAAUACUCUGCAAUUUUGACGUUACCGACAGAAUAAGCACCGGCUAACUCUGUGCCAGCCGCCGCCGUAACAC
rnacentral:rRNA from 1 species